rnacentral:rRNA from 1 species
UACGUAGGGGGCUAGCGUUGUCCGGAUUUAUUGGGCGUAAAGAGCGUGUAGGCGGCCAGAUAGGUCCGUUGUGAAAACUGGAGGCUUAACCUCCAGCUGUCGAUGGAAACCAUCUGGCUAGAGUCCGGAAGAGGAGAGUGGAAUUCCUGGUGUAGCGGUGAAAUGCGCAGAUAUCAGGAAGAACAUCCGUGGCGAAGGCGGCUCUCUGGGACGGUACUGACGCUGAGACGCGAAAGCGUGGGGAGCGAACAGG